UGUCAUCGCCAUAGUAAUUGUGUACUUCUCUAUUAGAAAAUCACAAGAUAGUUUCAGUGUUGUUGUUCUCAAUCAUGUUACCCUUAAGUGCAAGACAUCAAUGUGCUCUUAAGAGAAAGGGAAUUUUUGGCAGGAAAGGUAAGAAAUUCGAAGCAAGCUCAUGCAGGUACAUUUUCUUUUGGUUUAGUUAAUGAAUGCUUUGGUAUAGGUCUAAUCGCUCCUUCCUGGAGAUGAUUCUGUCUUAUUUCUUUUGUGGGGACUUACUUUGGUUUCUUUAAUUAGGAUACCUUCACCUGGUAUUUUUUGUUUUUAUUAAUGAAUAUAGAUUAGUUGCAUUGUUUUGACUCACCUAAGCUAGCCGUAUAGUUAGAAAUUCAGCGUGCACACAAGGCGAUCUGGUUGAGUUUUACUAGCUAACUGUAUCAUUGUUGUCUGCAUGCUGAAAAGGUUAUGGGUAUGUACGGAAACUAAAUGAUGCUCUGUUCAUCUGUUGUUGUCGUUGUUUCCACUAGAUGAUGCUUUGUUCAUCUGUUGUCGUUGUUUCCUCCCCGUGAAGGCCUCCCAAAUGUCAUCUCCUUCCCUUCUCUUGCUGCUCGCUGAAAUUGCUCCUGCUGCUACCUUUGCAUGGUAAGGUGUCUCCAUCUCUACCUAUAAAUAUAAUAAAUUCAGUAUCGGACUACAUGUUGUUUAUGUAUGUCUUUAUGUGGGAUAUAUGUAUGUCAGUAUACAAAUAUUGUUUGACACCAUCUUUUAACCGAUUCAGGUGUUCAUUCAAUCUGAAUCGUGUUGUUUUAUUUAGCCUAUGCCAGCCUAUGAUUUCCUGUGCAGCAAACUGUAAAUAAUUAUCCUUAACUGAUGUCUUUGAUCCUGCAGUUGGGUAAUGCACUUGGGAUCAAUUUUUUUCUAAUAAUUAUUAAAAUUAUGUCUAACUUGGAUAUGCCUCUUACAGCUGGGUAAUAAAUUAAUGCAACUGAAUUCAUUUAUAGAUUAACAUUGUUAUAGCUUACCUAUUUAGUACCUACUCCGACAAUUGAGAUCGGGAUCCCUUUUUGGUAAUUGAUAAUCACUUUGGAAAAAAAGUGGGGAUAUUGUCACUUAAAAGAUACCAAAUUUGUGGAGCUUGACCGAUCAGGACCAAUUCUUUCAUUGUACUAAGCCUACUAAAUUUAUGGGAAACAGCUUGCUUCGCUACAGAGCAAUACUUUGUGUACAUGAUCUCUAGAUGCUUGAGUUUCUCCCUUUCAGUUUCCUUGGAUGUUGCACUGUAUGAUUUAGAACUUCAUAUGUAGAUUUGGUCUGCAUCAUGCCAAGAAUUGGUAUAAUUUUUUGUUAAUUUGCUAGGCUCUUUGCAGCAGCAGAUUCUAGCUGAUAUACAUAUGUCAUGCUUGCUUACUGUUUAACAUGAAUACUUUUUGGUGUGCUUCUUAUAUCAUAGUACUUUGUGUCUAAUUAUAUAAAUGAAAGGCCGUGAAUUGGGGUAAGACUCUAGACUAAAUCUUAUAACUUCAUUUUAAUAUUUGUGUAGGUGAGGGAGUUCUGUGAAUACACUCCGAGGGCAGGGAUCCCAUUUCAGUGAAAUCAUGCUACUAUAACUUAAACACGCCAAGAAGAUGAGAGAUAGUCCUUCGUUGGAGCGAUAUUUCUUCCAAGGAUGGUGGUUGGCAUGGAUCAGCACCAGUAAUACCCUGAAUUUUUUGAACUUGGCUCCUCUAGCCUAACUUGAUUAUGAAAGUUCCAGUCAAAUGAAUUUAUUAUGUAUUUUUGGCUUGGAGUUGAUCCCAAAAAAUAAAUUUCUUAUGCCUAUUUUACAAAGAAGAAAGCGUUCAAUUAUAAUUAGCUCU
rnacentral:lncRNA from 1 species